rnacentral:rRNA from 1 species
AGCUUAGAGAGCUUGCUUUUUAAGCUUAGUGGCGAACGGGUGAGUAACGCGUGAGUAACCUGCCCUAGAGUGGGGGACAACAGUUGGAAACGACUGCUAAUACCGCAUAAGCCCACGGUGCCGCAUGGCACAGAGGGAAAAGGAGUAAUCCGCUUUGAGAUGGCCUCGCGUCCGAUUAGCUAGUUGGUGAGGUAAUGGCCCACCAAGGCAACGAUCGGUAGCCGGACUGAGAGGUUGAACGGCCACAUUGGGACUGAGACACGGCCCAGACUCC